CGGGAGGCCGGUCGUGAGGCUGGCUUCGAGCAGUGUCCCGGCACCAGCUCAACGCCAUUGGACAGCAGGC
rnacentral:SRP_RNA from 12 species